rnacentral:rRNA from 1 species
AUGCCAGAGUACAUUGUAUCUGACAGAGAUCCGGUGUUCACAAGCAAAUUUUGGCAAAUUCUAGUUCACAGGACUGGGACUCAGCUUAACAUGAGUACUGCAUAUCACCCUGCUACUGAUGGCCAGACUGAGAGAGUCAACCAGCAGAUUGAAUGCUACCUCAGAAGUUUUAUUAGUGCUCACCCCUCCAAAUGGAGCAAAUGGAUGUCCAUGUGUGAGUUUUGGUAUAAUACAAAUUGGCAUUCAGCUGUGGGCAAGUCUCCCUUUGAGGUACUUUAUGGGCACUCUCCUAGAUACUUUGGGAUUGCUGCCAGUGAUAAUGUUGCCCCUGUGAAUAUUACUUAG